AUUGAACGCUGGCGGCAUGCUUUACACAUGCAAGUCGAACGGUAACAGGCCGCAAGGUGCUGACGAGUGGCGAACGGGUGAGUAAUGCAUCGGAACGUGCCCAGUCGUGGGGGAUAACUACUCGAAAGAGUAGCUAAUACCGCAUACGAUCUAUGGAUGAAAGCGGGGGACCGUAAGGCCUCGCGCGAUUGGAGCGGCCGAUGUCAGAUUAGGUAGUUGGUGGGGUAAAGGCUCACCAAGCCAACGAUCUGUAGCUGGUCUGAGAGGACGACCAGCCACAAUGGGACUGAGACACGGCCCAGACUCCUACGGGAGGCAGCAGUGGGGAAUUUUGGACAAUGGGCGCAAGCCUGAUCCAGCAAUGCCGCGUGCAGGAAGAAGGCCUUCGGGUUGUAAACUGCUUUUGUACGGAACGAAACGGCUCUGGUUAAUACCCGGGGCUAAUGACGGUACCGUAAGAAUAAGCACCGGCUAACUACGUG
rnacentral:rRNA from 1 species